GGCUUACACUUGAUCUCUGAACCUCAGGUAAGUCCUGUUGAGACAUAAAAAAAAUUAACUGAUGCC
rfam:Beta vulgaris subsp. vulgaris chromosome 2, whole genome shotgun sequence.